AUUGAUGAAUACUCAAAUUUACAUGAGUAAAUUAACUACUGUAAAUAUUAAUUAUAUAAAAAAAAUCUACAUCUUAACUCUCACCAACCCUAACAAAAAGAAAAAAAAAACUCUCACCAAACACUCAGAUUUCCAUUACUCUCCCACACCAACUACUAAACUCUCAUCUUGGGAGAGAUGCAACAAACUCAGAUCCAGGCGAGGAACCAGGUGGCGAUAGAUCUGUUGUAGCAGUCUCCAUCGUCGAGUCUCUCCGUUUCGAGGAUUGCCGUCUUCGUCUGGCCAGCGUCGCCGACCCGCCAUCCUCUUCUUCGAGCUCUGUUGUUUCACAGUCCUCUUUUCCAACCCUUCCCUUCGUGGCCUGCUGCUCCUUGUUAACAUCAUCUCCCUCUGCACUGCCACAGUCUCUCUUUAUGCUUCUUCUCUCGUUCUUCUGCUGCUACCUCCUCUUCAUCUCUGCUCCUCCUCCAGCCUUCCUCCUCUGCUUUGUUCCACCGCCUCCUCUUCUCUCCCGAUUUGCUCUAACUCUCUGUCUCUGCAGGUUUUUCUAAUCUCAGUUGAUGAUCUCUUUUAACUUACUUUCCUUUUUCAUGCCAGUUUCUUCUAUUGAUCUUCUCCAAUGAGAACAACAAUACCACGCUCUCAUUCCAGUCUUUAGGCGUAUUAUCAAGUUCUAAAUACUAAAGUUACGUAAGUUUGCUUGGAUUUUGCCUCUUGAUUAAUCAACUCCUUAUUAGAAAUCUACUUUUCAGUAAUUUUUUUUUUUAUAAAACCUUGCAUUUGAACCUAGAAUUGAGUUUUGCUCUUCGGUGAGUCACACACUCUUUAAUCUUUGAUUGUUACGACAACGUGUGAUAGGAGAAUUCAGAUCUAGAAAUGUGCCUUUAAAUUUGGUAAGUUUCAACUUCUCUUUUUUUUUUUAAAUUUAUUUUACAAUCAAUAAUUAGUUUAAAUCCUUUGAAUUUUAGGCUGUACUAUUCAGGAGUGCAAUUGGGUUCUCCUCCAGUUAAUUUUUAUGUGCAGAUUGACACUAACAAUGAUGUUUUCUGUGUUAGCUAUACCUUUUUCGGUGGUUGUCCCCAAACAAGAGGUCUCUUAUGAAUUAUUUUAGCGAUAUUAUCUUAAGUUGUAAUCAGUUUACUAUUAUAUACACCAAGUUUUAUUUGAAUAAUAUGAAUUUUUAUUUCUAUUUUAAUUCAUUUUUUCUGUUAAUUAUGUUUUUAUAUUUUUAUGCUCACAUGUAAUUGUUGUGUAUGUAAACUAAUUAAAUAUAUUAGGAAGAAAAAAGAAAAAAGUGUGGAGAAAAACUGCUUCCAUUCAUUAUUAUUGUAUAAUAUCAUUGUACAAUUUACAAAAUACAAUUCAAGGAGGAAGGAUAAGACAAGUUAGAUAUGAAACUACGUAACAACACUAAAUACAAUCCAAAUUGCUGAAUACACCUUCCUGCAAUUGUACUAAAUGAGUAAUCACUAUAACCUACGGUUGUCAUGGAAAUUAUAGCCAAAUAAAAACUAUAAAAACACUUAUAUCCUCUAAAAAAUAUGCCGUAAUUGUUCGGCUACUAAUGACUAAGAAGACAAUAACAACGGCUGAACAAACUUUCAAUUUUUGGACUAACUUAUUCUCAACUAUCCACCCAUUUGGUAUGCAUGCUGUAAAUGUUGUAAUGAUGCAUGGUUCUAACUUUUUAAGAAGGUAUUGUAUGAAGUUUUGAAGAAUAUUAGAUGCAAAGGGGUAACAAAGGGACGCAAAAAUAGUUCCUAUUUUAGUCCAUGUAGAAGGAGGAGUAAUAUCCCUAUAUCCUACUGUAGUUAAUGUAACUGAGAUAAAAUAAAGAACAUUUACAAAUUUUUUUGUAGACUUAAGGUUAAACUUUCCCUUCAAGUAAAUUAUAAUCACAACUUAAAAAAAAAAAAGACACACUAA